CAGGGUUCUGUCAGUGUCAGGCUGACUAUUACAACAACAACGGCAGUUGUUCUCUUAAGGUUGCUUUAAAUGUGAGCUGCAAUGAUCCUGGUGCCUGUAAGGACCCACAUGCCGAAUGUAAGGGAGCGAUCUGUCUAUGUCAGACUGACUAUUACAACAACAACAGCGCAUGUUCUCUUAGGCUUGGAUACGGAGAAGACUGUAAUCCUGCAGU